rnacentral:rRNA from 1 species
UAGUCCACGCCGUAAACGAUGAGAACUAGCCGUUGGGCAGAUUUAACUGUUCAGUGGCACAGCUAACGCAUUAAGUUCUCCGCCUGGGGAGUACGGCCGCAAGGCUAAAACUCAAAUGAAUUGACGGGGGCCCGCACAAGUGGUGGAGCAUGUGGUUUAAUUCGAUGCAACGCGAAGAACCUUACCAACCCUUGAAAUCUAGCGAAGUUCACAGAGAUGAGAAUGUGCCUUCGGGAACGCUAUGACAGGUGUUGCAUGGCUGUCGUCAGCUCGUGUCGUGAGAUGUAUGGUUAAGUCCAGUAACGAGCGCAACCCCUAUCCUUAUUUGCCUAGCGCGUUAAGGCGGGAACUAUAGGGANACUGCCAGCGCAAGCUGAGAGGGAAGGUGGGGGAUGACGUCAAAUCAUCACGGGCCCUUACGUCCUGGGGCUACACACGUGCUACAAUGG